GCCUGACUUCCUGAUGUCCACUACACUCUGUUCUCAAUCUUCUCCAGUCUUUUGCAAACUGUGAUGUUCAGAUGUCCUAUAAGCCUGACUUCCUGAUGUCCACUACACUCCGUUCUCAACCUUCUCCGGUAUUCUGCAAACUGUGAAUGCCUCCUUGUGUUGGAUUCAUGAUGUUCACCAUACUGCACGGCCUACUUUUUUUCUUCGCAAUCUAUGGAAAGAAACUCUGUUCAGCUCAUGAAACGGACUGUUCACAUUUUUGGACUUUUGUGGAGGAAGCAGGGUAUCCUGGUAAUUUUAUUUUGCAGCUACUAUGCUCUCGUCAUAGAUACCUUGCAUCCUACCCAGUGAGUACAUUAUACGAUUUUGAUUUCCAGUAUCUGAUGGACAUUUUGACUCCCAUGUUGAAAUAUGAUUAUUUUAUCAUAUUUUCUCAUUACAACCUACAAUUUGUAUAGGCCCAACAAAGAGAGAAAUCUGAACUGGCAAAGCUGCUCUAUAUGCAUCACAGGUCGAUAUUGUUGACCUUCACAAAUGACUUCCGUCAGUCAGUUUCAGUUGUAGCCUACAUUUAGAUAAUUCCAAACAGCACAGCAGUGUGUUGACAUCAAUGUUUCUUGUACCUAAUAAUAACUGAGUUAGU